AACGAGCGCUGGCGGCAUGCCUAACACAUGCAAGUCGAACGAGACCUUCGGGUCUAGUGGCGCACGGGGGCGUAACGCGUGGGAACCUGCCCUUAGGUUCGGAAUAACUCCCCGAAAGGGGUGCUAAUACCGGAUAAUGUCUUCGGACCAAAGAUUUAUCGCCUUUGGAUGGGCCCGCGUUGGAUUAGCUAGUUGGUAGGGUAAAAGCCUACCAAGGCGACGAUCCAUAGCUGGUCUGAGAGGAUGAUCAGCCACACUGGGACUGAGACACGGCCCAGACUCCUACGGGAGGGAGCAGUGGGGAAUAUUGGACAGUGGGCGGAAGCCUGAUCGAGCAAGGCCGCGUGAGUGAUGAAGGCCUUAGGGUUGUAAAGCUCUUUUACCCGGGAUGAUAAUGACAGUACCGGGAGAAUAAGCUCCGGCUAACUCCGUG
rnacentral:rRNA from 1 species